rnacentral:lncRNA from 1 species
CUGUGAGUUCUGAUAUUGGCAUCUUAGACCUGCCAAAAUAGAUAGAAUUCCAAUUUCCAGCUUUUGCUUAGAGCAAUGCUUUGUUUCAGAGUUCUUAGUUGAGAAUUUGCUUGAAACUGAAAUAUUCGCCCAUUUCGUUCUUUACACAGACUCCAGCAAAAGAAUGGUUAAUACAUAAAAGGUUACACUUGCAAGGCAAAAGAAUGGUUAUUC